UAUUUCUAUGGAUAAUUUGUUUUGUUUGGUUUGAUUUCUAAUUGAGUUUGAUUUGCUAACUUUUUGUCAAUUGAGAAUUUUAGCUUGGUAAAAUUUUGCAAUCUGAAAUCAAGCUAGGCUUGAAACUUGGGUUAACCUUGAGCUUUGGCUUGCUGUUGAUGGACUAAACUCAGAUUUGCCUAUUCUGCUUGCUUUAGCUAUUUGCAGUCUAAAAGUAAAUGGUCAAGAAGUAGCACAACCUCACUAGUAGGAGUGAGUAUCGGUCAGUUCAGUUCGGUUCAAUAUGGA
rnacentral:misc_RNA from 1 species